CCCGUCAGUUAACUGCGGUAAGACAUUACCGAGUGAGGGCCCUCUGGGUCCAACCUCCCACCCGUGUUUAUUUUACCUUGUUGCUUCGGCGGGCCCGCCUUAACUGGCCGCCGGGGGGCUCACGCCCCCGGGCCCGCGCCCGCCGAAGACACCCUCGAACUCUGUCUGAAGAUUGUAGUCUGAGUGAAAAUAUAAAUUAUUUAAAACUUUCAACAACGGAUCUCUUGGUUCCGGCAUCGAUGAAGAACGCAGCGAAAUGCGAUACGUAAUGUGAAUUGCAAAUUCAGUGAAUCAUCGAGUCUUUGAACGCACAUUGCGCCCCCUGGUAUUCCGGGGGGCAUGCCUGUCCGAGCGUCAUUGCUGCCCUCAAGCACGGCUUGUGUGUUGGGCCCCGUCCUCCGAUCCCGGGGGACGGGCCCGAAAGGCAGCGGCGGCACCGCGUCCGGUCCUCGAGCGUAUGGGGCUUUGUCACCCGCUCUGUAGGCCCGGCCGGCGCUUGCCGAUCAACCCAAAUUUUUUAUCCAGGUUGACCUCGGAUCAGGUAGGGAUACCCGCUGAACUUAAGCAUAUCAAAAACGGGAGAGGAA
rnacentral:rRNA from 1 species